GACGCGCGGGGGCCGCGGGAGGCGGGGAACGACCCGAGAGCCCCGCCGCGCCGCCCCGGGAUUCCCCCGCAGGCCCUGAGAACGACACGAAAAGCAGUUCUCCACCCUCCUUCGCCACUCGAGCCUUUCCUCGCCGACCUGUCAGUGCUCUUGAAUGGUUCCCGCUGGAGCACACCUCCCCAGUGUAAUACCAUGAUGUGACGGCUUUCUUGAUUUGUACUUCCAGAGUGCAACUUUAGAAAGUUGAAGAAAUGGAGACAGAAUAGAUAGAAUGGUCGGUCACAGGUGGGACUAGAAUGCAGAUUUGGACUUGACGAGAAAAUGAUCUGGCAAAUUCCAUGAAAAAAAAAAACAACAACAAAACAAACCGAGACCAGAAAAAUCCC